rnacentral:rRNA from 1 species
GCUGGCGGCGUGCUUAAUACAUGCAAGUCGAACGAGGUCCAUCCGAUCUUCGGAUUGGUGAAGACCUAGUGGCGAACGGGUGCGUAACACGUGAGAAACCUGCCCCGGUCUCUGGAAUAACAGUUGGAAACGACUGCUAAUACCGGAUGCCGUCGGACCAUCGCAUGGUGGACCGACGAAAGGGUUACCGGACUGGGAGGGUCUCGCGGCCUAUCAGCUUGUUGGUGAGGUAACGGCUCACCAAGGCAUCGACGGGUAGCUGGUCUGAGAGGAUGAUCAGCCACACUGGGACUGAGACACGGCCCAGACUCCUACGGGAGGCAGCAGUAGGGAAUAUUGCACAAUGGGCGAAAGCCUGAUGCAGCAACGCCGCGUGCGGGAAGAAGGCCCUAGGGUUGUAAACCGCUUUCAGCAGGGAAGAAAAUGACGGUACCUGCAGAAGAAGGUGCGGCCAACUACGUGCCAGCAGCCGCGGUGACACGUAGGCACCAAGCGUUGUCCGGAUUUAUUGGGCGUAAAGAGCUCGUAGGCGGUUCAGUUAGUCGGGUGUGAAAACUCUGGGCUCAACCCAGAGAGGCCACU